rnacentral:rRNA from 1 species
AUUGAACGCUGGCGGCAGGCCUAACACAUGCAAGUCGAGCGAGCGGCGGACGGGUGAGUAAUGUAUGGGGACUGCCCGAUAGAGGGGGAUAACUACUGGAAACGGUGGCUAAUACCGCAUACUAUCGGAUAACCCAUAUGGGAUUAGCUAGUAGGUGGGGUAAAGGCUCACCUAGGCGACGAUCUCUAGCUGGUCUGAGAGGCUGAGCAGCCACAGUGAGUGGGAGACAGGGCCCAUACUCCUGCGGGGGCAGCAGUGGAGAAUAUUGCACAAGGGGCGAAAGCCUGAUGCAGCCAUGCCGCGUGUAUGGAGAAGGCCUUAGGGUUGUAAAGUACUUUCAGGGGGGAGGGGUUACCCGCAGAAGAAGCACCGGCUAACUCCGUGCCAGCGGCCGCGGUAAUU